UUGUUGUUGUUAUUGUUGUUGUUGUAGUUGUUGUUGUUGUUGUUGUUGUUGUUGUUGUUGUCGUCGUCGUUGUCUUCGUUGUUGUUGUUGUUGUUGUUAUUGUGGUUGUUGUCGUUGUUGUCGCUGUUGUCGUUAAUGUCGUUAUUGUCAUUGUUCUCGUCAGUGUAUUUGUUGUCGUCGUUGUUGUCGUCGUUGUGGUUGUUGUUGUUUUUGUCGUUGUUGUUGUUGUUGUUGUUUUUGUUGUUAUUGUUGUUGUUGUUGUUGUUGUUGUUGUUGUUGUUGUUGUUGUUGUU
rnacentral:lncRNA from 1 species